GGAUGUGAGGGCGAUCUGGAUGGCUAGGCGGGUGUCCCCUUCCACCCUCACAGCUCCAUGAGCAUCCCUACCAAAGCUGCGCACCCAGUCCAAGAGGACAGCCUUCCCCAACAGAGACGGACUGGUCUUUGGUUGAGGGUAUAGGAGUAGCUGUGCUCCCCUGCUAGAACCUCCAAACAAGCUCUCAAGGUCCAUUUGUAGAAUGUAGGGUAAUCAAGCUUUUUUUUUUAACUUUUUAAAAUUUAAUUAUUU
rnacentral:snRNA from 1 species